CUUUUGCGACAAGGAUCGUAAUGGCAUCCUUUUACAAAUGGAUUCUUAUAAAAAGUAUUUGUUUCCAUUUGUAAAAGAUAUAAUGGAGAGCCUGGCUGUCG
rnacentral:sRNA from 12 species